UAAGGGCGCACGGUGGAUGCCUUGGCACUAGAAGCCGAUGAAGGACGUUACUAACGACGAUAUGCUUUGGGGAGCUGUAAGUAAGCUUUGAUCCAGAGAUUUCCGAAUGGGGAAACCCAGCAUGAGUUAUGUCAUGUUAUCGAUAUGUGAAUACAUAGCAUAUCAGAAGGCACACCCGGAGAACUGAAACAUCUUAGUACCCGGAGGAAGAGAAAGAAAAUUCGAUUCCCUUAGUAGCGGCGAGCGAAACGGGAAGAGCCCAAACCAACAAGCUUGCUUGUUGGGGUUGUAGGACACUCUAUACGGAGUUACAAAGGACGACAUUAGACGAAUCAUCUGGAAAGAUGAAUCAAAGAAGGUAAUAAUCCUGUAGUCGAAAAUGUUGUCUCUCUUGAGUGGAUCCUGAGUACGACGGAGCACGUGAAAUUCCGUCGGAAUCUGGGAGGACCAUCUCCUAAGGCUAAAUACUCUCUAGUGACCGAUAGUGAACCAGUACCGUGAGGGAAAGGUGAAAAGCACCCCGGAAGGGGAGUGAAAUAGAACCUGAAACCGUGUGCUUACAAGUAGUCAGAGCCCGUUAAUGGGUGAUGGCGUGCCUUUUGUAGAAUGAACCGGCGAGUUACGAUUUGAUGCAAGGUUAAGCAGUAAAUGUGGAGCCGUAGCGAAAGCGAGUCUGAAUAGGGCGUUUAGUAUUUGGUCGUAGACCCGAAACCAGGUGAUCUACCCUUGGUCAGGUUGAAGUUCAGGUAACACUGAAUGGAGGACCGAACCGACUUACGUUGAAAAGUGAGCGGAUGAACUGAGGGUAGCGGAGAAAUUCCAAUCGAACCUGGAGAUAGCUGGUUCUCUCCGAAAUAGCUUUAGGGCUAGCCUCAAGUGAUGAUUAUUGGAGGUAGAGCACUGUUUGGACGAGGGGCCCCUCUCGGGUUACCGAAUUCAGACAAACUCCGAAUGCCAAUUAAUUUAACUUGGGAGUCAGAACAUGGGUGAUAAGGUCCGUGUUCGAAAGGGAAACAGCCCAGACCACCAGCUAAGGUCCCAAAAUAUAUGUUAAGUGGAAAAGGAUGUGGCGUUGCCCAGACAACUAGGAUGUUGGCUUAGAAGCAGCCAUCAUUUAAAGAGUGCGUAAUAGCUC
rnacentral:rRNA from 1 species